rnacentral:tRNA from 1 species
GCCGAAGUAGCUCAGCUGGUUAGAGUGCCACGCUCAUAACGUGGAAGUCACGGGUUCAAGUCCCGUCUUCGGCA